UCCUCUGGGGUGUUGAGUGUAAAUAAAUUCUUACAUUUUUAGAUAAAUGAGGAAUGGGAAGUGGAAGGAGGAGGACGUUUGAUGUGGUUGUUUUUCUGAAUCACACUGAUAUUGUCACACAUUUGAAUAUUGUUUUACGGUUUCCAAAUUCUUUGUGUCUCAUUUGCUCACGGGAAAAGCCUGGUAUGUAUUUCUGUUGCCGUAUCUGACAUUUGAUGAAGUUUUGAUUGUGUCAUUUAUGUAUUUAUCUUUUUUGAUCUGUUUGGGGUCUUUUUGUUUGUUUGUUUUUGGGACAGGGUCUCACUCUGUAGCCCAGGCUGGCCUUGACUCGCAGCAAUCCUCCUGCCUCAGCCUCCCAGGGCUAGGAUUACAAGCAUGCCCAGGUCUGCAUUUAUCUACACAUUUGAAAAUCUUCAUUGUCAUUGGUUUACACUGAGGAAUUUAUUUCCUGUUCUAGCUUUGCCUGGAAAAUUCUGCCUGAAUGUCUAUUUCCAAUGUCUGAAUUCUUAAAUGCCCCCCGCCGUGUGUUGGAGCAAUCUUAUUUUCUUCCUUAGUUUCUAUUUGGGGGACGGACACAUGAGGAAAGGAGGAAGCCCCUUCCUAUUGCCUGUGAGCCUCCCAGCUGUUUUAUUCUGUGUUUGCUUAUUUCCCACGCUCCUGGUCCGCUGCGAAGCCGAGUAAGUGUUCUGUUCUCUUUAAUACUUCAUCAGCAUCUCCAUUAUUAGCCGAUUAUCUUUUAUCUCUUUCCUAUGAAAGCUUUUAAAGGAAGGAUGGAUGAAGCCAUAUCUUUUGUUAUUUAAAUACCGCAUCAUCAACGUCUGCGAGGACAUUAUCAAGAGAUUUAAACACAACAUCCUACCUUCAGGAUCACAGAUCAGAUAUUUUAAAAAUCUGAUUUAUUUGACCCUUGUGAGUACAAGGGAGUUCCGGGGGUUCUGGUACUACAAGUCCCCCCCCCCCCCCGAUGACGGACCCUCCCCAAGGUCAGCGGCAGCCAGCCUGUCAUCCCGGGCAGAAGCUCACGCGCACCCUCCUGAAAGGUUUGCAGGUGCAGGCCUGGGGGGAUGCGGGACGCCCCGCGGCGGGCCCGUAAGGGACGGAGCGGAGCGGUGUCACCCCUGGGUGAAGGCUUCCCGGGCUCGGCCGGAGAUGCUGGAUGACUCUGCAAAUAUUAAAUAUAGCUACAUGAAUCACCGCAAAAAUUCGAGCCUUGCAACGUGGUGUCAGGCAUAACAAUUUGUUCCCUCGCGCCUGCUCAUGAAUAACAAAGCAUCAGUUAAAGGAAUUUGGGUCUGGCUCGGGAACCUGGUCCUUCUUCCUGCCCUUGGGGACGGGCUCCCGGCCGUGUGACGCCUCGCACUCGCGGUCCUUCGUGCUGUGACUCUUGGAGCUAAACGGUCGGCCCUGGAACUGGAAGUCCCGUAAUGAUGAUGUACGUAGAUCAUCAGACAUUGGUUCAACUCCAGAAUGAACCUCCGUGUGAACAACAGAGCUUGGAUGACAUUAAGGUGUCAAUGAAUGAUCCAUCGUAGCCCAUGCACCACCCUGCUGUCAGAUGGGAAUGAGGUUGUGCAUAGGGAGAAGAAGGUAUGUGGGAGCUCUGUUAUUGCUACUGAAUUUCGUUGUGAACCUAAAAUGUAUCAAAAUUUUUUAAAAUGCAGAGAUGAUGACCCCCGAAACCUCAUGCACUUUUCAAUUGGACUUUUUCAGAGGUGUCUGAGUCUAGAGCCUGUGACAGAUUCAGAAAGAUGCCUAUUUGCUCCUCAGCUGUGCUUUUACUCUCUUCCCUCACCGUGAACUGUUGCCCCUCUACCCUGUGCCACACUGCCUUAGAGCCAGCCAAUUAUGGACUGAAACCUCUACAAACUGUGAGCUAAAUAAACUUUUCCCCCCUUAA